ACCUACGGGGCGCAGCAGUCGAGAAUCAUUCACAAUGGGGGAAACCCUGAUCCAGCGACGCCGCGUGAGUGAAGAAGUAUUUCGGUAUGUAAAGCUCUGUCAGCAGGGAAGAAAGAAAUGACGGUACCUGACCAAGAAGCCCCGGCUAACUACGUGCCAGCAGCCGCGGUAAUACAUAGGGGGCAAGCGUUAUCCGGAAUUAUUGGGAGUAAAGGGUGCGUAGACGGAGAAACAAGUUGGUUGUGAAAUCCCUCGGCUCAACUGAGGAACUGCAACCAAAACUCUUUCCCUUGAGUGUCGGAGAG
rnacentral:rRNA from 1 species